UACAGAGGGUGCAAGCGUUGUUCGGAAUUAUUGGGCGUAAAGAGCUCGUAGGCGGUUUGUCGCGUCGGCCGUGAAAUCUCCACGCUUAACGUGGAGCGUGCGGUCGAUACGGGCAGACUUGAGUUCGGUAGGGGAGACUGGAAUUCCUGGUGUAGCGGUGAAAUGCGCAGAUAUCAGGAGGAACACCGGUGGCGAAGGCGGGUCUCUGGGCAGUAACUGACGUGAGGAGCGAAAGCGUGGGGUAGCGAACAGG
rnacentral:rRNA from 1 species